AAUAGAGUGUCAAGCAGGCAGAUCAAUUUUCUUGACCACCGAAUACAUUAGCAUGGGAUAAUGGAAUAGGACCCUGUCCUCCUAUUUUCAGUUGGUUUUGGCAGCGCGAGGACUAGGGUAAUGAUUAAUAGGGAUAGUUGGGGGCAUUAAUAUUUAAUUGUCAGAGGUGAAAUUCUUGGAUUUAUGAAAGAUUAACUUCUGCGAAAGCAUCUGCCAAGGAUGUUUUCAUUAAUCAAGAACGAAAGUUAGGGGAUCGAAGACGAUCAGAUACCGUCGUAGUCUUAACCAUAAACGAUGCCGACCAGCGAUUAGGAGACGUUGAAUACAAAACACCACCAUCGGCGCGGUCGUCCUUGGCGUCUGUCCCUUUCAACGGGGGCAGGCGCGAGGGCGGUUUAGCCCGGUGGCACCGGUGAAUGACUCCCCUAGCA
rnacentral:rRNA from 1 species